rnacentral:rRNA from 1 species
GAGUUUGAUCUUGGCUCAGGAUCAACGCUGGCGGCGUGCCUAAAACAUGCAAGUCGGACGCACACCUUCGGGUGUGAGUGGCGGACGGCUGAGUAGCACGUGGGCGACCUGCCCUCUGGUGGGGGAUAACCGCCCGAAAGGGUGGCUAAGACCGCAUGGGGUCCCUGGUUCAGACCAGGGAGCAAAACCGCAAGGUGCCAGAGGAGGGGCCCGCGGCCGAUUAGCUGGUUGGUGUGGUAACGGCGCACCAAGGCGACGAUCGGUAGCCGGUCUGAGAGGAUGGCCGGCCAGACUGGGACUGAGACACGGCCCAGACUCCUGCGGGAGGCAGCAGUUAGGAAUUUUGGGCAAUGGGCGCAAGCCUGACCCAGCAACGCCGCGUGGGCGACGAAGCCCUUCGGGGUGUAAAGCCCUUUUCCAGGGGACGAUGAUGACGGUACCCUGGGAAGAAGCCCCGGCUAACUACGUGCCAGCCGCCGCUGUAAC